rnacentral:lncRNA from 1 species
UAUAGCUCUGUUUCCUAAGCAUUGACAGGUACCAAUGACCUAAUUUGACCUUGAUAGUUUAAAUGUUUACAGUGCAAGUGUGAAAGGUCUAUUUCGGCACUUUUUAUACAGUAGAACACUAAAAGGCUAUAUGCGAAGCACUAUGGUUGAAGACUACUUAAAUUAAAUUACUUGGCUUGGUCAUGAUGCAAGUUCAUCAGGAAAUUAUUCCUAACAUAGUACUGUAGGAAACAUUAUUGAUAAAUUUUCUGGAACAUGUGGUUAAAGUUAAAACUUGCACAAAGACCACUCUCGCCUCCAAUAGCAAUUAAUAACCUCACUCUUGUACACAACACUGACAGAAAAACCUUCCUGGGGUUUGGUUCUUCAUCAUCAACCAAACUUAGCCUUUCAAGAUCACCACCUUCCCAAAUCCCCCCCCCCCCAAACAUUAUUCAAGCUUUGUAGACAAAAGCUGAUGCCAAAUAUCGGGUCUGAUCUCAUUGGCUUGAGACAGGUCCAUUGCAUCUUGAACCAGUUAAAUUUUUCAACAGACCAGGGCUUGAAAUAACAACUGAUCACCAAUCAAUAAUAGGCAGGAAACUGCUUAUGAUCGGCGGAAAAGCAUGGUUUGCAACCUGAAAAAGCAGGGAAAGUCAUGACUGCCGAUCACCAUGAUCGGGAACUUUGGGAACAUUAUUUCAGGCCCUGACAGACAAACUCCAUGUUGAUAGUAUGUGACUGUCUAGUGAGUAUAUAAUACAGUAUGUAUAAGCAUAGUAUAGGAAUAAUACAAUACUGUGUUAAAAACCUUGCCAAUUUAAUAUUUCAGAUAACUAGAUAAGUAAAGUAAUAGUCAUUUGUAAUGAAAUAUUUUGUAUUUGAAUCGACUGUGAUUAAAAUAUGUUUAAAAUGCCAGGUAAAAUAAACUUGUUUUCAAUAAAAGUUGGCUUCCACUGAAGCUACAGCUUUGAGGCACCAUUUCACUUGCGAUAUUAUACAUUUUCAUAGCUGGACAGAUAUAUAACAAGAUGAUGAAUUUAAUUAGAUUAUAUAUAUAGACAUAGCUAGGUUAGUAAUAGGACUAUGGAAGGGGCUAAAGGGAAAAACCAGGCAAUUUCACAUCCAUGAAAUGUCCCGUAUUGUCAUCCAUUUUUAACCAAGCUCCUUUUGCUGCGGUGAAAGGUGUGAGGUGGGUUUAUGGCACCUUAAAACCAGAUUGCUCAUUUUAGGUGGUAUUCAUUGUUCAUUUUAUUGUCACCCAUUUCUAAGUUCUAGCCAAACUCCUUUUGCUCUUGCAAAAGGUGUGAAGGCAAGCAAUCUGGUUUUAAGGAGCCAGAAACCUGUGCUAGCUUGUGUUCAGCUUUUUCAAGAAGCUGUCCUUGUUGGAUCACGGUUUACUAUUUUUGGUAAACGUGUUUCCUAUAGGCAUGCUGAUGAACCAAGGUAUACACUGUAGGGCGAAACAGUCUAUCUAUUAAUAUAUCAUAUGCUGAACAAUGGCAGGUACGAAAAUUAUGUCAUUUACGCAUUUGUAGUUUGAUAAAACAAAAUAUCUAUACUUCCACAAAAAUUGGACUAUCAUCCUGACAUCAAAUGACGUCAUGUCAAAUGACGUCAUCACGUUUGCGUCAUCGAUGACGUCAUAAAAUUUUGACUAACGUGCGAAAAAUCCUAG